rnacentral:rRNA from 1 species
CCUACGGGAGGCAGCAGUGGGGAAUAUUGGACAAUGGGCGCAAGCCUGAUCCAGCAAUGCCGCGUGAGUGAUGAAGGCCUUAGGGUUGUAAAGCUCUUUUACCAGGGAUGAUAAUGACAGUACCUGGAGAAUAAGCUCCGGCUAACUCCGUGCCAGCAGCCGCGGUAAUACGGAGGGAGCUAGCGUUGUUCGGAAUUACUGGGCGUAAAGCGUACGUAGGCGGUUAUUCAAGUCAGAGGUGAAAGCCCGGGGCUCAACCCCGGAACUGCCUUUGAAACUAGGUAGCUAGAAUCUUGGAGAGGUCAGUGGAAUUCCGAGUGUAGAGGUGAAAUUCGUAGAUAUUCGGAAGAACACCAGUGGCGAAGGCGACUGACUGGACAAGUAUUGACGCUGAGGUACGAAAGCGUGGGGAGCAAACAGGAUUAGAUACCCUGGUAGUCCACGCCGUAAACGAUGAUAACUAGCUGUCCGGUCACUUGGUGACUGGGUGGCGCAGCUACGACAUUAAGUUAUCCGCCGUCGGGUAGGUACGGUCGCGAAGAAUUAAAACUUAAAAUAGUAAUUAGACGGCGUGAGACGUGCCGACGGACGACGACGAGGGAGUAGG